rnacentral:lncRNA from 1 species
GUGAGUUCUUCCCAGCUUCUCCGUGCUGAUACCCCAUGGUUCUCCUACCACCAGAUGCUACUGAGGCUAAACUGACUGGACUGAGGAAAAAUAUCUGUGGGGAAAACUUUCUUUCAGAAUCCAACUUUGAACCAGAGAAAUCCAUUCUCUUGAAGCUGUCUGCUGUGGAGAAGUUGGCCUUACCAAUCUGCCUUUGAAGUUCAAGUUAUACAGGAUCUGCGAGGCUACCUGUGAAUGAAUGGUUGGUUGGUCACUACUUGCAAGUUUUUCAGGAGCUCCUGAAAGAUUACUGCAUAAAUAAGGGAAGAUGGAGACCAGACCUCUGGCUACUGUUGCUGCCACCACUACAGAUACCACCUUCACCCUUAUGAACCCCCUAUUUACUGAACAUUCUCUAUAUGCCAGAGAUGAAGGGGGUCUCACUAUGCUGCC